rnacentral:rRNA from 1 species
UAGCCGUAAACGAUACUCGCUAGGUGUCGGCCACGGUGCGACCGUUGUCGGUGCCGUAGGGAAGCCGUGAAGCGAGCCACCUGGGAAGUACGGCCGCAAGGCUGAAACUUAAAGGAAUUGGCGGGGGAGCACAACAACGGGUGGAGCUUGCGGUUUAAUUGGACUCAACGCCGGGAAGCUCACCGGAUAGGACAGCGGAAUGAUUGCCGGGCUGAAGACCCUGCAUGACCAGCUGAGAGGUGGUGCAUGGCGUAGUCGUGU